UACGUAGGGGGCUAGCGUUGUCCGGAAUCAUUGGGCGUAAAGCGCGUGUAGGCGGUCCGGUAAGUCCGCUGUGAAAGUCGGGGGCUCAACCCUCGAAAGCCGGUGGAUACUGUUGGGCUAGAGUACGGAAGAGGCGAGUGGAAUUCCUGGUGUAGCGGUGAAGUGCGCAGAUAUCAAGAGGAACACCAAUUGCGAAGGCAACUCGCUGGGACGUUACUGACGCUGAGACGCGAAAGCGUGGGGGGCAAACAGG
rnacentral:rRNA from 1 species